GUAGUUUCAGCUACUCAGGAGGCUGAGGCAGGAGGAUUGCUGAGCACAGGCGUUUGAGGCUGUAGUGCGCUAUGAUCGUGCCACUGCACUCCAGCCUGGGCGACAG